rnacentral:misc_RNA from 1 species
UCCGAUUUGUCACCGGCAGUCUCCCUAGAGUCCCCGGCAUUAUCCGCUGGCAACUAGGGACAGGGGUUGCGCUCGUUGCGGGACUUAACCCAACAUCUCACGACACGAGCUGACGACAGCCACGCACCACCUGUGCACCUGCCCCGAAGGGCUGCCGUGUUUCCACGACAUUCAGGUGCGUGUCAAGACCUGGUAAGGUUCUUCGCGUUGCGUCGAAUUAAACCACAUGCUCCACCGCUUGUGCGGGCCCCCGUCAAUUCCUUUGAGUUUCAGCCUUGCGGCCGUACUCCCCAGGCGGGGCACUUAAUGCGUUAGCGCCGGCACCCAGGGGGUCGCUCCCCCAGGCACCUAGUGCCCAUCGUUUACGGCGUGGACUAC